CGGGACCCGCCUCCUCCACACGGGACCCUCCUCCUCCACACGGGACCCUCCUCCUCCACACAGACCCGCCUCCUCCACACGGACCCGCCUCCACACGGACCCACCUCCACACGGACCCACCUCCUCCACACGGACCCGCCUCCUCCACACCGACCCGCCUCCUCCACACGGGACCCUCCUCCUCCACACGGGACCCUCCUCCUCCACACAGACCCGCCUCCACACGGACCCACCUCCUCCACACGGACCCGCCUCCUCCACACGGACCCGCCUCCUCCACACAGACCCGCCUCCUCCACACGGACCCGCCUCCACACGGACCCACCUCCUCCACACGGACCCGCCUCCUCCACACGGACCCGCCUCCUCCACACAGACCCGCCUCCUCCACACGGACCCGCCUCCACACGGACCCACCUCCUCCACACGGACCCGCCUCCUCCACACGGACCCGCCUCCUCCACACGGGACCCGCCUCCUCCACACAGACCCGCCUCCACACGGACCCACCUCCUCCACACGGGACCCUCCUCCUCCACACGGGACCCGCCUCCUCCACACGGACCUGCCUCCUCCACACGGACCCGCCUCCUCCACACGGACCCGCCUCCUCCACACAGACCCGCCUCCUCCACACAGACCCGCCUCCUCCACACGGACCCGCCUCCACACGGACCCACCUCCUCCACACGGACCCGCCUCCUCCACACGGACCCGCCUCCUCCACACGGGACCCUCCUCCUCCACACAGACCCGCCUCCACACGGACCCACCUCCUCCACACGGACCCGCCUCCUCCACACGGACCCGCCUCCUCCACACAGACCCGCCUCCUCCACACGGACCCGCCUCCACACGGACCCACCUCCUCCACACGGACCCGCCUCCUCCACACGGACCCGCCUCCUCCACACGGGACCCGCCUCCUCCACACGGACCCGCCUCCUCCACACGGACCCGCCUCCUCCACACGGGACCCGCCUCCUCCACACGGGACCCGCCUCCUCCACACGGACCCGCCUCCUCCACACGGACCCGCCUCCUCCACACGGGACCCGCCUCCUCCACACGGGACCCUCCUCCUCCACACGGACCCGCCUCCUCCACACGGACCCGCCUCCUCCACACGGACCCGCCUCCACACGGACCCACCUCCUCCACACGGACCCGCCUCCUCCACACGGACCCGCCUCCUCCACACGGGACCCGCCUCCUCCACACGGGACCCUCCUCCUCCACACAGACCCGCCUCCUCCACACGGACCCGCCUCCUCCACACGGACCUGCCUCCUCCACACGGGACCCGCCUCUUCCACACGGACCCGCCUCCUCCACACGGACCCGCCUCCACACAGGGGACCCUCCUCCACACGGGACCCGCCUUCUCCACACGGACCCGCCUCCUCCACACGGACCCGCCUCCUCCACACGGACCCGCCUCCUCCACACGGACCCGCCUCCUCCACACGGACCCUCCUCCACACGGACCCGCCUCCUCCACACAGACCCGCCUCCACACAGGGGCUGCCUCCGCAAUGGGGCUGUUCCCACUGGGGGCUGCCGGGCUCCUGCUGGGUCUCGAUCCGCAGGCGUGGGACCCUCCAGCGCGUCUGCCCAUGCGGCUGCAGCCAGCGCCUCCACGAACCUCAUGAGCCCCGGGCCCUCGUCUGUGACACAGGCACUCAGCCACCUCAUCACGCUGCUGGGAAGGUUAUAUCACAAAUAACAGCAGGCCUGCGACGUGUGAAACGGCACGAGGGCCCACUUUUUAAUUAG
ensembl:lncRNA